UUGCUGCUUUGGACCAGACCCUGCUCAAGCAGAGGUUCAGAGCUGUGAAGUGCUCAGGACCAUCCCCAGGCCCUUUCCUCUGGAGCUGCUCCACAACUCAGUGCACAGCCUGGAGCCAGGCUGGCAGAGGGAAGAUCUGGUCUGUGCCCAGAGCACCACGUCCCCUCCCUGCAGGGCGUUAACAAAGCUCUAAUGGAUACUGACGACUUUGUGUGGCUAAAACGAAUGAGAAUUCCGAGUCCAUGUGAAAACAUUUAUUUGAAGAAAUGUUCAUGUGAACAUUAAUGUAAAGACAACUUCAGCUUCUAAAGACUUUUUUGGGGUCAUACUCUUAAUAAAGAGUUGUGCUGGUUUUGCACCCAUCACAAGAGUAUUUAAAGAAUGGUGAGCAUUUUUGGCACUGUACUGUCAGUGUGUUGAUACAAUUUCCAUGUAUUUUAUUUGUUAUUACAGUUUUCCUUCAUUCCUGCCCCUCAGGUAGACAUGACAACAUUACCAGCUGAUAACAGUAAUUUUCAAUUGUAAUUACCAAUUGUUAUUAUCCAACCAUGACAUACAGUUUCUGCAUGAUAUGUCCUUAUAAUUUAAGGAUUUUGCAAUCAGACACAGCAGAUUGUGGAACUCUUGCAGUAUGUGACAGAAGAGAUGCUGUCAUUCUGUGUUACUUACUUCUGCCUCUCUUUGGCAUAGUGAUCUCUUUUACAUAAACCAAGGUGGAAAAUAUUGCCACUGUUCUUCUUCAAAAGAUUGUCCAUAUUCUGUUGGUAUAUAAACCUAUUGAAUGUUUGAGGGGUGAUGGGGACACAGAUCAUUAAGUUUAAACAAAGAACAGCAAUAUUUGUCAAUGGAAGCUGUAAAGAGAAGAAAGCAUAGCAACAAAUUAGGUCUAUAUUAUGUGGUUUCAAGGAUUCCUUAUGCACCCAGAAGUCCUGAUGCUGCUGCUUCUGCUUGCCUUGAGGACCUUCAGCUGUAGAAGCUUUUUUUUUUUUUGAGACCAGUGAACUUUGAAGUCUAUAAAACCAGAAAUACACAUCUGUUUGUAUGAUAGGACCUCCCUGAAUGUUACAACUGGAUGCCAUGUGGAGAACGCUUAGCUGAACAAGGAAACAUUUCAAAUACUGAGGAGGAGGUAAAUAUUCUGUAUCACUUUAUCCUGAAGUGCUUUUUCUCUUAGUCUAUUGGAAUUGUCCAUUUUAAACUGUAGGACAACUAGCAAAAAACCAAAUAAACUUACCCACUUUCAUCUUUCCAUUCAUUGGAACCUGCCAGGCUGUGCCAGUGAAUGGCUCUGCCCCACUAAGUAUUUCAGAUCCUCAGUGCAGGAAAACCAGUGAGCUUUUCAGUGUUUCUUAAAUGUUAGAAAUAGCUAGGGGUCAGACUGAAAGGGAUUCCUGUUGUGAAUUAGCCAGCGUCCCUAUUUUAUAGCGUGGCACUGAGGAUUGCAAUAUCAUAUUUCUCAGAUUAUUACAAGUGCAGUUUUGAGGUGAUGAGAGAAUAGCAGAGGUCAAGGGUGGAAGCUAGAUUAUAGUUCUAUUAGAGGAAGUGCUCAGUUCCAGAGUGCCAUAAUCAGACAAUGUUCUCCUGUAGCUGAAUUGUACUCAGGGAUUAUGCCUUGAGGAUGAAUAUUUGAAAUAAGGGGACUUGUGUUUCCUGUACCCAUUUUUAUCUAUUACCAGUGCUUACUCUAUGUUGAUUUCCUUAAUUGUAACCAUUUCCCAGGCCAUGACUUGAUUCUCAGGUCACUCUAAUUAAUAUGAUCUAGGUCCUUGUAACAGGGGAAACUUAAAGUUUGAAGAUACCAAGAGAUACCUGCUUGUUUUUCUCAUGUUUGCAGUAUUUGCUUUUGAAUUAACUGUUCUGAAGUAAUCUCUUCUCCCCUGUAUCUAAUAAAGUGAGUGAAUUACUUAA